CAAGAGUAUGCACAGUACUAGGUGUCUUUCUACUCUUACAACCUCUCUGAUGCUUCAGAAAUAUGUGCAGGUGUGUGCAUAUGCUGCCAUGUGGGGGGAGGGGUGGUAAAGGGUGGCACUCGCCUGUGCACGUACUUGUGGAGUUCAGAGGUCAACCUUGGGGUUGUUCCUUAGGAUCUGUCCCUUCCCCCCUCCCCCACAGGAACUAGGGGCCACUGAAUCAGAGAGGCUUUAGAACCAGUGAGCCCCAGGCAUCCUGCUGUCUCUACCUCUGGCAGUGUGGGGGAACCACAGGGGCAUGCCAUUAUGCCUGGCAUUUUUCGAAAGUUAUGGCAGGUUCAUCUUUUGAAUGUGUGACUGAGGAAGUGAAAGACACCUGAAGGGGACCGGAUGUUACAACAAAGGACUAGAGUGAGCGGAUUACACAGCCCAGUCUAACAGGCAGUUGAGAAGGCGGACUGAAAGUUCCCUGCGGACAGGAGCCAAGUUAGUUGCAGUUCCCUGUCACCUCCUUAGAGCAUCGCGUGAUGCCAGACACCCCUAGGCACCUAGGCAGUUCUUCUGCGGAUCCGUGAAAAGUAACCAGAACUCUGCCCCCAGAACUCACAAUCGGCUUGAAAGUCCACAGUGUCCCCGAAACUGGUUUUCCCUUCCAAGAUUUCCUGCAGACCCAGAAGAGGCCGAAAUCAGUUUCAGCUCCC
rnacentral:lncRNA from 1 species